rnacentral:rRNA from 1 species
GUCGAGGGGUAUAGUUCUUCGGAGCUAGAGACCGGCGCACGGGUGCGUAACGCGUAUGCAAUCUGCCUUUCACAGAGGGAUAGCCCAGAGAAAUUUGGAUUAAUACCUCAUAGUAUUAUGGAAGGGCAUCCUUUUAUAAUUAAAGUCACAACGGUGAAAGAUGAGCAUGCGUCCCAUUAGCUAGUUGGUAAGGUAACGGCUUACCAAGGCAACGAUGGGUAGGGGUCCUGAGAGGGAGAUCCCCCACACUGGUACUGAGACACGGACCAGACUCCUACGGGAGGCAGCAGUGAGGAAUAUUGGUCAAUGGGCGCAAGCCUGAACCAGCCAUGCCGCGUGCAGGAUGACGGUCCUAUGGAUUGUAAACUGCUUUUGUACGAGAAGAAACACUGAUUCGUGAAUCAGCUUGACGGUAUCGUAAGAAUAAGGAUCGGCUAACUCCGUGCCAGCAGCCGCGGUAAUACGGAGGAUCCAAGCGUUAUCCGGAAUCAUUGGGUUUAAAGGGUCCGUAGGCGGUUUAGUAAGUCAGUGGUGAAAGCCCAUCGCUCAACGGUGGGACGGCCAUUGAUACUGCUGAACUUGAAUUAUUAGGAAGUAACUAGAAUAUGUAGUGUAGCGGUGAAAUGCUUAGAUAUUACAUGGAAUACCAAUUGCGAAGGCAGGUUACUACUAAUGGAUUGACGCUGAUGGACGAAAGCGUGGGGAGCGAACAGGAUUAGAUACCCUGGUAGUCCACGCCGUANACGAUGGAUACUAGCUGUUGGAAGCAAUUUCAGUGGCUAAGCGAAAGUGAUAAGUAUCCCACCUGGGGAGUACGAACGCAAGUUUGAAACUCAAAGGAAUUGACGGGGGC